rnacentral:rRNA from 1 species
UGGGGAAUAUUGGACAAUGGGGGCAACCCUGAUCCAGCCAUGCCGCGUGAGUGAUGAAGGCCUUCGGGUUGUAAAGCUCUUUUGGCGGGGACGAUGAUGACGGUACCCGCAGAAUAAGCCCCGGCUAACUUCGUGCCAGCAGCCGCGGUAAGACGAAGGGGGCUAGCGUUGUUCGGAAUUACUGGGCGUAAAGCGAGUGUAGGUGGUUGUCCAAGUUGGAUGUGAAAGCCUUGAGCUCAACUCAAGAAAUGCAUUCAGGACUGGGCGGCUAGAGGACCGGAGAGGAUAGUGGAAUUCCCAGUGUAGUGGUGAAAUACGUAGAGAUUGGGAAGAACACCAGUGGCGAAGGCGGCUAUCUGGACGGUUUCUGACACUAAGACUCGAAAGCGUGGGGAGCAAACAGG